rnacentral:rRNA from 1 species
GUCCUUUAGAUUUUAAUUUAAGGUCUAACCUGCCCACUGAAUUAUUUUAAAUGGCCGCAGUAAUUUGACUGUGCAAAGGUAGCAUAAUCAUUAGUUUUUUAAUUAAAAGCUUGUAUGAAGGGUUGGACGAGGUAAAAUCUGUCUCUAAUUAAUUUAAUUUAGAAUUUAACUUUUAAGUCAAAAGGCUUAAAUUUAAUUAAAAGACGAGAAGACCCUAUAGAUCUUUAUAAUUUAUUUAUUAAAUUUAAUUAAGAAUUUUUAAAAUUUUAUUAAUAUAAUUAUUUUAUUGGGGUAAUAUAAAGAUUAUAGAAAUUCUUUUUUUUUAUUAACAUUAAUUUAUGUUUAUAUGAUCUAGUUUUAUUGAUUAUAAGAUUAAGUUACCUUAGGGAUAACAGCGUAAUUUUUUUAGAGAGUUCUUAUCGAUAAAAAAGUUUGCGACCUCGAUGUUGGAUUAAAAAUUAUUUUAGGUGCAGAAGCUUAAAAAUUUGGUCUGUUCGACCAUUAAAUUUUUACAUGAUCUGAGUUCAGACCGGCGUAAGCCAGGUCGGUUUCUAUCUUUAGUUAAUUAAAAUAUUUUAGUACGAAAGGACCAAUUAUUUAAUAUAUUAUAUUUAUAUUUUGAUUAUUAAUAA